rnacentral:rRNA from 1 species
GCACCGGCUAACUCCGUGCCAGCAGCCGCGGUAAUACGGAGGGUGCGAGCGUUAAUCGGAAUUACUGGGCGUAAAGCGCAUGCAGGUGGUUUGUUAAGUCAGAUGUGAAAGACCCGGGGCGUCAACCUCGGAAUUGCAUUUGAAACUAGGCAGACUAGAGUACUGUAGAGGGGGGUAGGAAUUUCAGGUGUAGCGGUGAAAAUGCGUAGAGAUCUGAAGGAAUACCGGUGGCGAAGGCGGCCCCCUCGGACAGAUACUGACACUCAGAUGCGAAAGCGUGGGGAGCAAACAGGAUUAGAUACCCUGGUAG